GAAGAUAUGACUGUAGCUUACUAAAA
rnacentral:piRNA from 1 species